GAUGGGAGGGUAGCGUUAUUGUCCUCUGCAACGCUCCACCAAGCAGCCGACUGACACAGAAGCAGAGGCACAGGGCUUGAUAUCAGAUGGAGCUCAGUGAGUCUCACUGAAAAGCUGAGGGAAGGACUGAGAGAGGCAGAGUUGCACAAUGGUCUUCACGUGGGUUCACUAAACCCGUCACCUGGCUGUGGAUCCUGUUCUCCUACCCGGGCUGCGUUUUCAAGAGCUGGUUGAUGGAUCUUUCUCUUUUCCUAAGAAAAGGCCACUCUGGUUCUCAACUCACUCUUGAAGCCGUGACAGGAGACAUUCACAUCUCAUUCCUUAAGGACUAUACAAAAGGUUUGCUCAAAGGUAAAAUCCAUAUUUUGGGAUAUACUUAUUAUUGAAAAAUUACAUAGAUAAACCCAAUCCAUAUUUUAUCUUCUGUCCCUGUACCUAUAAUAAAUCUUUAUUAACUUUGAUAAAAAUAAAAAAAAGUGUUUCUACUCCAUUACUGACAACUGACAGAAAGAGAGGAAGACUGAGUAUUACAUACUAAUUUACACCGAUACACACAUAUUCUCAAUAAAAUCCGUGCGAACAGA